UCUUUGCAGCUUGCCUGCUGCUUGGAUUGCGGGCCAGCAGAACAAGCAGGAGAGAUGGCGAAGAGGGCGAGUGGCUGAGAGGCUAUGGGGCUGGGCAGGGGGCAAUGGGGAGUCACGUGAGGUGCCUCUGGGGUGCCCCUCCAGGCAGUGGGGCCCCCAGACAACUGUCUCCCCUUGCCCUAUCAUUGUUACGCGCCUGAAGAGGGAGGCAGGCACACCAUUGCCCCCAUCCCAUCAGGAGCAGCUCCACUCGCCCAAUUUCACUGCUUGGUGGAUUCAUUCUCUCCUGAGAGCAGGGGAAUCCAACCUGGGUGUACUCUUGCUGCUACAAGAUUGAUGGAGGCCCCCAAAGCCAAGUAGCAUAGGUGAGCUGCGAAAGAUGAUGGCAAUUCCUUGCUGACACCUUUGGAGUGGACAAGGAGGUACGAAGAGACUCCUGACCUUUUACUAAGGGAUCCUACUGGCUGCCAAAUCCAAGCACAGGUUGAACUUCAUGAGAGAGAAAUCUGCCUGGCCGGAGCUGAACUUGAGACAUCUAUUUCCAUCACACUCAACUCUGCUGUUGGGAGUAACAGGAAAGAGAUUGACCAUUCAGCCAGCAUGGAACAGCCGCAUAAGCAGCAGAGGGGGCAAGAGAGAGAGAGAGAGAGAGAGAGAGAGAGAAAGAGAGAGGCAGGCUUUUAAUAUUCAGUAGAUUUUUAAUUGCUGUUGUUUUGAAGCUGGCUUUUAUGUGUUUUUGCUGGUUGCUGUCUUCUCUAAAGUCUUCUUGC